CCCGCCUGUCUUGCUGUACCCUAUGCAGCAGUUGCAGAGAGACUUCAGGUCCCUCCCUCCAUCAGCCAGUACAGCUUCAUUCUACUGAACUGGAAACUCAAGGACCCCCAAGGCAAAGUGGAACUAGACAAUAUGGAAUCCAUUGUCACCUUACGUGGUGGUAAAGACGAAUCGUGGUUCUACUGUACAACAGUGCAAGUGGAGCUAGACUUUGCUCCAGCCCUCUCCAGUGUUAUUGAAGCCCAAAAGGCUGUUUUAGAUGGAUCCUCACAGCGAUUGGUGAAGCAUCUUAGGACUAUAGAGGGAGCUGUUCAUAAGAUGAGAAAUACCUUGAACAGAA